GACGAACGCUGGCGGCGUGCCUAAUACAUGCAAGUCGAGCGGACGGAUGGGAGCUUGCUCCCAGACCGUCAGCGGCGGACGGGUGAGUAACACGUGGGCAACCUGCCUGUAAGACUGGGAUAACUCCGGGAAACCGGGGCUAAUACCGGAUAACUCUUUCCCUCACAUGAGGGAAAGCUGAAAGAUGGCAUCUCGCUAUCACUUACAGAUGGGCCCGCGGCGCAUUAGCUAGUUGGUGAGGUAACGGCUCACCAAGGCGACGAUGCGUAGCCGACCUGAGAGGGUGAUCGGCCACACUGGGACUGAGACACGGCCCAGACUCCUACGGGGGGCAGCAGUAGGGAAUCUUCCGCAAUGGACGAAAGUCUGACGGAGCAACGCCGCGUGAGUGAUGAAGGUUUUCGGAUCGUAAAACUCUGUUGUCAGGGAAGAACAAGUACCGGAGUAACUGCCGGUACCUUGACGGUACCUGACCAGAAAGCCACGGCUAACUACGUG
rnacentral:rRNA from 1 species